AACGUAGGAGACAAACGUUAUCCGGAGUUACUGGGCGUAAAGGGCGUGUAGGUGGUUUCGUAAGUCUGGCGUGAAAUAUCUCGGCUUAACCGAGGCAGGUCGUCGGAUACUGCGGAACUGGAGGACGGUAGAGGGUGGUGGAAUUCCGGGUGUAGUGGUGAAAUGCGUAGAGAUCCGGAGGAACACCAGUGGCGAAAGCGGCCACCUGGACUGCACCUGACGCUGAAACGCGAAAGCUAGGGGAGCGAACGGG
rnacentral:rRNA from 1 species